rnacentral:lncRNA from 1 species
AUACUUCAUCUAUUUCUCCUAUUUUAUUAGCCUUGUUUCUAGGUGUAGGACUAUUCUUUUGUUGAAGAUCUUGUAGUUAGACAUCUACAUUUAAAUAAAUUAUUGCAUUUGGAGCUUCAUCCAAAACUAUAUAAUCUUCAUAUUACAUUCUUGUUCUUUUCCCACAUAUAAUUUUCACAUUCACUUCUUUUAUUCUUGCUUCUAUUUCUUUAUCAAAUGGUGUGCACUUUUCUUCUUCUUUCUUUUUUUCAAUUCUUC